rnacentral:hammerhead_ribozyme from 1 species
AUCCAGCUGACGAGUUCCAAAUAGAACGAAACACGCGUCCUGAAU